GAAGGAAGGAAGGAAGGAAGGAAGGAAGGAAGGAAGGAAGGAAGGAAGGAAGGAAGGAAGGAAGGAAGGAAGGAAGGAAGGAAGGAAGGAAGGAAGGACCACCUGUCAAGCAAGAAUCUGAUGAACAUGAACAAUUGAAAGGUUCCUUGGAAUUCUGAAUGAAUAGAAUAAGUGAUGGUGGCAGCAAAACUUACCCAUUGUUCAAGAUACAGGACAAAAAAUCAGAAAUUAUAUGCUCAGUUCUGCUCAGAUGUCCCUUGUGUAUAAACUUACCUUCACAGUCUUCUACUAGAGAGUGAAAUGAUGGAUAACACAGAGGAUAAAUAGUCUCAGGUACACACAGAGCUUGUAAAGGUGGAUAGUAUUUUAAUUCUAAAGAAAAUUAAAAGUUUAAAGUUACCUGACUGAAAUAUUGUGAAUUCUCAAGAAAACCACAGGAAUUCACAGCCCAUCCAUCUGCUGUCCCCUGCUGCGCAACAGAAGACAAAAAAAAAAAAAAAAGAAAUGCAAAAGCAGUGCUUUUCCAAGAAAUGAAAGGAAAUAUUUCCUUCAGCAGCAUGCAGUCAGACUGAAACUGAAAUUCAGUACUGCAAGAGGUAGUUGAAGAAUGCAUUUGGAUCUUACAAAAUGAUUGUUCAUUAGUUGUUUGCUCAUUAAUAUUCUAGCUUUACAAGUCAACCCUGGGAUAAAAGUGCACAAACUUCCCACCUCAGGGUAUAGGUACUUAAGAUUCAAACUCCCUACCUACACAGUUUUUGAAAAGUAUAGCAUCAUUUUGGUUGGAAAAGCCAUCUAAGGAUCAUGGAGUCCAGCUGUUAUCUAGCGCCACCAUGUUUACCAAUAAACUGUGUCCAUAAAAGCCACAUCCACACAUGUAGAACACUUCCAGAGAUAGUGAUUCCACCCCUUUCCCUGGCAGCCUGCUCCAAUGCCUAACUACCCAUUCAGCAAAAAAAAUAUUUCUUGGUUUCUAACCUCACCUCUUCCAGCACAACUUGGGCCCAUUUCCUGGCAUCUUGUCGCUUGCUACCUCAGAGAAGAGGCCAACCCUCACCUGGCUACAAUGUCCUUUCAGGCAGCUGUAGAGGGUGAUAAGCUUUCUCUCAGCCUCCUUUUCUCCAGGCUAAACUCCAGCUCCCUCAGCCAUUCCUCACAGGACUUGUGAUCCAGACCCUGGAGGUAUCUCCAUCACAGCAGUGUUCUCUAGGAUGUAACCACAAUUUUAAGAGAGAGAGGAAAUUUAUAUUCUCAAUUUAAACAACAAAGUGCAGUAAAACAUAGUCCUAACAUGUUUUGGCUGACAGAAGUUCUGCCCCUUACUCAAACCACAGCAGCGUUUAUCUGUAGAAGCACCUAUGCCAGUACUCAAUACUUGAAUUGGGUGGAAGCCAGCAGCAAAAUCUCAAGACAGCAUUGGCUGCCCAAAGGAAUGAGAAUCCUUUUCAGGUUCUGCAGUCCCAAGUUAAUGAGCCAUCUGCAUGAAAAUACAAUAAGAAGUCAUUCAUCCCAGUGAGAGCAGAUCCAGAAUGAAUGGAUGCCCAUAAAAGUGAUGGCAGGAGCACAAGGAGAAGAAUCUGUUUAGUGAGUCCUAGCUGAGUAUUUGUUCCAGGUGCUGACAGCAGGGCUAAGAGUUUGGACAAAUGUACAUUCAGCAUUAGCAGAUCUCAGGAAACUUUGCUACUGAGCCAAAACUGAGCUGUGCCAUCUGAAAGAGGGACAAGAUUAGGAUUUUGAUUUCAUAAUUUGACUGAUCCACAUAGUUCCCAAAAAAGCAUUUUCUUGACUCCAAGACUACUUUGCCACCAAAUUUCUAAGCCUAUUUGAAAACCACAGAGAUAUGUGAACUUUUCAAAGGAAAUUAAUGAUAUUUUAAUGUAGUUGAAAGCAUUAGGCAUCCUAGAAAUAAGGGGAACUCAUACUGCCCCUGUGUUUUAGUUCAACUGUUAGAAAACAACAUCCUUAAACAGUAUACUUCCUCUUUGUAGGCAUUGUACAUAUAUUUUUUUCAAAGCUCCUGAAAUCCAGAAAUAAGCGAUCUAUUAUUGCAGCCCUGUUCCAUAUUGAGAAAGACAUAUUCAUGUAUGUCUGCAUACAGCAGUGGAAACCACAGGUUCAAGAGAAAUGAGGAAGGGUCCUCCCUGGUACCAUGUGUGCUCAGCUGUCCCUGUCCUGUUAUAUAUCAGUUCUAGAGAUCCCUCUUGUAACAAGCACAGUUCUCCUGCAGUCCUCAACCACAGAGAGGAAUUCCCUUGGCUCGUCUGGAUUCCAUCAGACACACACAAAGCCCUGAAGCUGUAUUUGUGCAUUUGUGUCCAGAGCUACAGACUAGGUAUUAUUUUGUGUGGUGGGAGACAAUGUUCCCUCUUCAGAAACAAGCAUCUACAGACUAGAUGUGAAGUUCACUAAAAUCAGUUUUCCCUGUAUCUUGAGACCAUUAGGUCAUCAAUAUCAAUUAAACAUGGAAAAUAAGAGGUAAAGAAGCAGCUGAUGAUUCACAGAAGUGAGAUGUACUUUUGGAAGACCUGUCAGGAAAAAAAACCAAAGUCUUUAUUUUCAUCCAUUUCUUUACAUGAACAAAUGCUGCAGGUUGCCUAGAGAGAUCAUGGAGUUUCCACUCUUGGAGAUAUUCAGAAGCCAUCUGGACACUCCAGGGCAAGUCACCCUACUUGAUCAGGGGGGCUGGAGCAGAUGACUUCCAAAGAUACCUUCCAAUUGGACCAUUCUGUAACUCUGUGAAUAACAGGCAUAAUUUUAAUUUAAUUGAAACUAAAAGGUAAUGAUUGUUUUUCCUCAGUUUAUGCUGGUUUAUGGUUUUUUACCUUAUUGAAAAUACGUUCAACUUUCUCUUGAUUAUUUCUUGCAUUUUUGCUCCCCUGCUUCUUAGUUUUCUUAGAUAUCAGAUCUCAGAAUGCCACAAGCAUGAUUCUGUGAUGACAUUCUUGACCCAACUAAAAUUGUGGAACAUCUAGAAAUCCUUAUUUUUUCUAUACUGCUGCAGCAUUUCAGGACCAAAAGGGCUGAAAAGGAGUCUGGCCCAAUUAUACAGCAAAACUCCCCUGGAAACUGCUUCUUUCCCAAGCUGAUCACAGGAUGUGUUAACAGCUUCAACAGUAAUUCAGAUGCUCAAGGAAACUGACCUCAAGGUUAAAUAAAAGAGCUUUGCAUUUCCUAAGUUGUGUGUUUUAAAUUACUACAAUACUUUGCUAUAUCAACAAAUUUUGCAAGACUGCCUCUCAUCACCAACUGUUACCCUGUAAGUUUCACUGAAAAAUCCUGAUUGAAGGACUUUGUUUGUGGAACUGCGACACUGAAAAAAGCCUUGAAUUAUGGACCCUCUGGUUUAAAGACUUAAUUUAGAUAAAGCCUGUUGCAAUGAAAAAUACCAACAAAAAAAGCAAAUAAUUCACCCAAUCAUUGUAAUUCAGACUUUUUACAGAAAUGGAUACAAAUCAGAACAGGUUCCCUUCUUACGUUAAACAGAGCCAACUUUUGGGUUGUACUCAUUCCAACUCUUAUUGCAGUCAGUGGUUCUACCCAAAAUAUAGUCACUACAGAUUUUUCCCACAGAGUGAUGAUAUUCAGCUACCUUUUAUGGCACACUUUGAGGCAUGGUAUUCUUGCUUGUUUUCUAACAUUAACCUCCAACUCAUCAAUAAAAUGAACAAACACAAAAAGAAUGGAGAAUCCUGGCAGCCAUUUCUAAAGGUAUUUUGUGCAACUGGGAGCUAAAAGAAAACCUUUGAUAAGAAACAAAACAUGCUGAUUUAAAAGAAUGUUUGAUACAAUAGUAUAGUUCCUGUAAUUCAUAAUCUCUAUUUCCUUGAGUCUAAUGUAUUUCUUUACCUUUUAUAAUUGUCAUUCUUCCUUGUGAAAGAAGAUACACCUUAUAUCAUUAUUUCCUUUUAAUUACAAUCAGAAGCAGCCCAGAAUCGAGAGAUUUCUGCAAGAGUAAGAGAACAGAACACUAUGGAAAGCUUUGGACAUGGGAUCCAGAGGCUCCCCCAAAUAACCUAAUUGCAGACCUUCAAAAAAGUUUGGUUUUUAGGGUUAUUAUCACGCAUGCAUCAUUUUUUCAAGCUGAGUAUUGCCAGCACUGAAGGUUUUUCAGACUGAAGCCAUUAGAAACAUCUUGUUUGUACCAAGAUAAUAGUAAGUCUCCUUAUUUGUCUUUUAAAUUUUUCAGUGGUUUCAAUUCCCUCAAAUCUCCUAAUCACAGUCUUAGUUCUGAUGACUCUGGUAUUAGUAACAUAGGGUUCACAACCUGAGGAUGUGGUUCCAAAACUAAGCUGCUUAGGUUGAUUUCCUGGGUUAAAUCCUACAGUUUAUCCACCCCCAAAAAGGUGAACUUGUUGCUUUUAACUACCACCACCCACUCCAAUUGGGAGGGCACAGAGCAUUUUGUGAUGUCUUUUGGUUAGGCACAAUUCCCUUAAGGAAAGGCACAUUCCCCUACACCAAGGAGGGCAUGCAUCUCACCUCCCUUUAGCGAUCAUAAAGAUAGGUGCUGGGUUUAGAACGACAUGGAUACUUACAGAAUGAGUCAUCCGGCCUUAAAACCAGAGGAUUAAAAGCAGUAGUGUGACUAAUUCUCAGGAAGUGCCUAGCCUUGAGUAACUAUGGAGGGAAAACAGCUUGUUCUUUUGGAGUGGCUGUCUAAACUUCAGACAGCUUGAAUUUGGGAAAAUGGACCUCUCCAUAGUGUCUUUGUACUGUGGGUGUCUUUCAGCACAGCAACAUAAGCAGACAGCUCCUAUCAGACAAUAAUCUGCAACUACAGGAAACAUUUUGGAGGUGCCUCUGCCUGAUGAAAAUGGUGUUUGUUAGCAUCAUAGGGUCUGACCAGCUCUUGAGUGUACAGCAAGCACAUUUGCAGAACCAUGGCAAAUUCCAAAUACAGCUUGUGUAUCUGCUGUGCUGGAACACAUCUUAGAGAUAUAUUCUUGCUCCUUUAUGCGUCAAAAUGC